rnacentral:rRNA from 1 species
GGGUCAGUAGGUUGGUCGUGCCACCGGUACGUACUGGUCUCACUGAUUCCUCCUUCCUGAAGAACCGUAAUGCCAUUAAUUUGGUGUUGCGGGGAAACAGGACUGUUACUUUGAGAAAAUUAGAGUGUUUAAAGCAAGCUAACGCUUGAAUACAUUAGCAUGGAAUAAUGAAAUAGGACGAUCGAUCCUAUUUUGUUGGUUUCUAGGAUUGACGUA